AUCUACAGCACCCAUUAUCAGCAACGAUUCAACCAAUGUUCUAAAGCCACAUUCUGUUAAUAAUCUUUAAAAAAACAAACAGUUACAGAGUACAGAGUGCUAUUUUGCAAUUAUGUAAGCACAUAAUGUAUUCUGAAAACUGCUGCCGUGGUUAAAGAAAACAAGGCAACUAAUCUCAGCUGGUAUUCUGUCUGCAAUUGGGUGCAAUGGAAAUUUCUAAGUAACCCCAAUCCUUUGACCGGUAGUGUAUUUUCUUUCUUUUUUAUUACAGUUAUAGUCUUCUUCUUUUUUUAAAUAAGGAUUUCUUUUUGUUUGAGUCCUAGCUGUAAUUUAUUGUGGCAUUUCGUAAUUUUUUUCAGAAACCUAAGAUGAUGAUAAGAGAUUUUUUAUGAUUUCACUACGUUCCGGUUCGUAUUAACCGACUGUGAGACCUGAAAGAAAUAUCUGUAAAAUGUUUAAUGUGAUCUAUUUUUCCGUUGGAAGUCAUUUGUUAAUUUUUAAUCUACUGCUUUUACAACUUGCCAUAUAAAUGUAGAUUGAGUUUGUACAGAUUUUACGGUAGAUGUAGUUUUAUCUUCAAUACCAGUUUGCAGUGAGCCAUUGAAACAUAAUUGAAUUGACAGAUGUAUGGUCUUAGUACUCCCCUUAUCUGUUUCAUCUCACGUGUUAUGGAUAUCGUUUUAAGUGCAUACAACAUAUCCAUUGAUUUGAACUGAGAUCGUUUAGAUUUGACCUGGAAACAAGUUUUUCUGCUUGCGAGUCACUACUACUUCCUACAUUGUAAAAAAAAUUAUAACAACAAUAAUGAAAGCUUUAUAAUUUACUCAUUCUUCACCUUCUGUUUUGACAUGAUAGGAUUUCAAAAUGAUUUUCACUCGCCAUAUAAUUCAUUUCACCUUCUGCAUUUAAGAUAUGGGAUUGAGAAUGGCCCAGUUAGGUCCCGCAAGAUAAUGGUGGAGCUUUUUUAAAGACUUCUGUAUUUUUUAGUGCUUUAAAGUGUCUCUUCUUGUCUGCAACAGGCUGUGUGACAUUAUGGAACUGGAGUUGUGGUGUUGCUUUGAAGGACUGGAUGCACGCUCUCCACUGGCUCACUUUGACUGUGAGGUAUUGCUAACAGUUGGGAAUGUUUUUUUUGUCGUGCUUUGGGAGGUUUAUCAAGACGUAGAAGAGUUGUGUGAGGUUGUAAAAUCGGUGACGGUGUAAGUAGAAUGUGUUUCAGUCAAGUAGGGAAUUGUGAUAAUGAGAAUGCAUGUGAACGUGACGAAAUUGGGUGUCUUGGAGGGAUAGUGAUUCUGCAGCCUGAUGGAACAGUGUGAAAACAUGUCCUUUUAGAUCCUGGUGGUAGCAAUAUGUGUUUGUUAAUUUGGAAAAUCACAAAAGCAUAUUGCAUAUAAGCAUUUUUUUCUUCUAAAGGUUGGCCAAACAGUUUUCAUAAAAGACUUGCCUACAAUUGUGAAAGCAAAAAAAAGAACCUGAAACCUGUCAGCACAAACAACCAGAGUCAAAAGAAACAAAAUUGUUCUUACUGUAUGCAAUAAUAGUGCCCUUUUUGAGUGUUUCUUGAUUUAGAUUUGAAAGGAAAAGUGCCUGUUUGUCAUUCAUUCCUGAGUACGGGGGAGGAAGUGGAUUUAUUACGUGUAGGUUCUUAUGGCGCCUGGUUAACAACAACAACAAAUCGGUAAUGUAUGAUGGGGUUGUAGUUCUCACAAAUGUAUUGUAUAUUUUUCUACUUGUUUUGAUUUUGACCCUUGAGGGGGAGACUGUUGUGUCUUGCAGGGUAAGAAGGUGAUGGCGUAUAUACGUUGAGAUGCUUAAGUACGUGUUUGAGUCAUUUCGGAAGAAAAGGCAGUUUUAUCAAGGUCUUUCAUCAAAGUAAAAAGAAGUGUUUCUUUGCAAUGACAGCAACCGAAAUAUAGGUUAAAGCUUUUUUUUUCUUUUCUUUGAGUGCUAAUUUAAUGUGGUGAUUAUAAAAGAGAACAGGAUGUUUUCAAAUUCAACUACUGGAUCAAACUAAAUGAGGGAACUCUGCAACUGCAUUAUUGUCAGUAUUUUGUGAUGUUUAAAGUCAAACUUGUGGUACAAACUGAAAAAAAAAGAUCAAACCAUAGUUACUUUAAACCAGCCAUAUUAGCUGAAAGCUAUCUAGACAAGUUGUGUAAGGAUUUGUUGACUUUUAAAGAUCAUGAAUAUCAUGGCCAUUAAUUAAUAAAGCAAAGGAGUCCAUAAUCCUAUCAAUUUCAGCUUUUUGCUCAGCUUAUUGAGGUUUCAUGCAGCCAUUCUGCCUGCUUGAAGUAUUUGCAUAGCUAAACUUCCUAUCUGCAAAAUGCAGAGGUAGGACGUGUUGUACUGUCAUGGUAAAUGAGCAUGUGUUGUGGAUGUUGGCAUAAACAUCCCUGUACUAGGAUUGUCUAAACUCAGAACUGUCUCUAGAACCUUUCUAGUCUUUAAUAAGGACGUUUCAGGAAAGGUUGUCUGUAGGCUGUUUCAUAAAAUGCUGUAUGCUCUGUGCUGUGUUCUACUUGAACAACUCAUUGGCUGCCAAAUAUAUAAGGUGUAACCAUUUAUGUAACCGCAAGUUCUGACUUGCACCAGCUAUUUUUGUGUGUGUCUGUUUGUGUAUGUGUGUGGGUUUUACCACCUAGCUAGUUUCAAACUAUUGAUUUAGUAAAUUGGGUUGCACCAUUUAAACCUAAGUAAAAAAUCUAUACGUGAAAAGCAAUGGGUAAAUUGGUUGUUUGAAAUCCUCUGAUCGUUAUCUGUCAAUGAUGUAAAGUGAAAGCUACUAAAAGCUACUAUAGUCACAAGCUGUUACAUAUCUCAAAAAAAUGAGUUUUGGUAGAUCAAAUAAUUAACUAAACAUAACAAUGAAUCCGUUGUAAAUGUAAGUAUUACUUUGUUCUUUUCAUUUAUGCAUACAUAGAGAAGUUAAGUAUACAUUUCAGAAUCAGUAAUAUCCACGCAUUUCUGUAUUCUGUAUUUCUGCAUUUCAAGUGUCAAUUCAAUAAGAAGUGGCUCAAUAUGUGACAGCAGAACGUUUUGUUAUUUGAUAUAUUUUUGGGUAAUUUUGUGUAACUUGUUUAAAAUUUCAAAAUCUUAGCAUUUUAUCAAGUGUAUGGUCUGAAUAUUAAAACGGGUGAUAUAUUAGCAAGGAUUAGCCUUUUCACUGAGCUAUACAAUAUUUAACAUUUAAUAUGUCAGCAAGCAAAUGUUAGCUUUGUCACUCAGCUACACAACAGUUAAAGUUUGAAAUAUUUGUAAGCAAAUGCUAGCUUUGUCACUUAGCUACACAAUUGUUAACAUUUAAUUUAUUAGCAAGCUAACGGUAGCUUUGUCCCUGAGCUACACAGCAGUUAACAUUUGAUAAAUUAGCAAGCUAAUGCUAGCUUUGUCACUUAGCUACACAACACUUAACAUUUAUUAUAUAUGCAAGCUAACAUUAACUUUAUUUAAUAACUAGGUCAUGCGGUGCAGCCCAUUUUAGUUUUGUAUAUCUCCACUGUGUAAACACGUUAAAACUCGGCUAGCGUAAGUUUGAACUCAUAAACAGCUGGUGCAAGUAGCUCAUGUUCUUUUCAGUCACCCACAUUGAAAAGGAAGUGUUUGGCUAGUGGCAGCAACUGCAGAGGAAGAUUAGUACAGUACAAGACUAAAUUCAAUCUGCAACACAUUAUUGUAGAUUCCCACAACAACAAACUAAAUUGUCCGUUGGUAAAUGUGCAGUAGUGUUUUGACAAACAAUGUCAAAAACUAGGACUUAAUCAGUGUCACAUCUGUAAAAAGGCAGCGAUAGCAGGCAAAAAACAUCAGUGGUAUGUAUCCAUUUGUCAUAUUAGAUCAAAAUAAUCAGUCAGAAAAAAACGUUGUCUAAAAUGCUCUUAAUUUAUUUAGCCCAACAUUAGGGGCUUUAAUUGGCGUAUUUUCUCAUGUUUUUUACAUAUAAUUACCACAUCUCUCCAAACAAUGUCAUUUGAUUUAAGUCUGCUUUGAUGAACUACCUCACGCUGAAUUUCUGCCAGUUCUUGCAUAUACUUAGUCGCCUGCAGAAUUAGCUAUCGAAGACGUGUGAAUAACAGAUUCCAUUAUUUAUUUAUUUGAAAGUGUACUAUUUGUUGGUUUCAACAGACUUCUAGUUUUGUACAUUAUGUAUACUUCACCUAGAAGUAAAAGAAUUGUUAUAUGUAAUUUUUGUUCAUUUAUUUUUUUGGUUUGUUUUUUGUUUUUAAACUAAAUGUGCAAUACCUUCAGCAAACUGUGCUAGUAGUGUGUGAUGGGCCUAGCCUUUGUUAGCUGUCUCCUGAAGGUAAAGAAAAUGUUUGGUACUGUCAAUCCAUGUUUUCCCUUUUUUAUGAAUAAGAUCAAUUUUUAUUUCUGUGACUUGUUUAUAGUCAGGAUGUUACGUAAUCAGCCUUUCCCUCCAAUUAAAUCUGUCGGCUAAGGUUUGGAUUCAGAGACAGGAAGUCCUUUGAGUCACUACGGCCGACAGGUUUUGAUUUGGAAUGUGGGAAGGACAAUAAUGUUAAACACAAAAAAAGAUGAGUAAUGGAAUAAAAUACCUACAAUAAAUCAAUAUAUGUAUGGUGCUGGUUUGUAAUGUUUGCUAGUGAAUCCAGCCAUGCAAGUAGUUUUAAGAAUUCCUUGAUCUGUGCAUCCAAAAAACCGCAAAGUGCACUACUAGAAUACAUGCACUGGGAUCUGAUGAUGCCACCUCUUUAAAAAAACAAAA